UGCUUUGGCGGCUCCGGCCGCCAAAGGACCUUCAAACUCCAGUCAGUAAACGCAGACGUCUGAUAAACAAGUUAAUAAACUAAAACUUUCAACAACGGAUCUCUUGGUUCUGGCAUCGAUGAAGAACGCAGCGAAAUGCGAUAAGUAAUGUGAAUUGCAGAAUUCAGUGAAUCAUCGAAUCUUUGAACGCACAUUGCGCCCCUUGGUAUUCCGGGGGGCAUGCCUGUUCGAGCGUCAUUACAACCCUCAAGCUCUGCUUGGAAUUGGGCACCGUCCUCACUGCGGACGCGCCUCAAAGACCUCGGCGGUGGCUGUUCAGCCCUCAAGCGUAGUAGAAUACACCUCGCUUUGGAGCGGUUGGCGUCGCCCGCCGGACGAACCUUCUGAACUUUUCUCAAGGUUGACCUCGGAUCAGGUAGGGAUACCCGCUGAACUUAAGCAUAUCAAUAAGCGGAGGAAAAGAAACCAACAGGGAUUGCCUUAGUAACGGCGAGUGAAGCGGCAACAGCUCAAAUUUGAAAGCUGGCCCUUUUAGGGUCCGCAUUGUAAUUUGUAGAGGAUGAUUCGGCGAGGGCUCCUGCCUAAGUCCCCUGGAACGGGGCGUCAUAGAGGGUGAGAAUCCCGUAUGCGGUAGGUUGCCUUAGCCAUGUGAAUCUCCUUCGACGAGUCGAGUUGUUUGGGAAUGCAGCUCUAAAUGGGAGGUAAAUUUCUUCUAAAGCUAAAUACCGGCCAGAGACCGAUAGCGCACAAGUAGAGUGAUCGAAAGAUGAAAAGCACUUUGGAAAGAGAGUUAAAAAGUACGUGAAAUUGUUGAAAGGGAAGCGCUUGCAACCAGACUUGUCCGCAGUUGCUCAGCCGGUCUCCUGACCGGCGUACUCUUCUGCGGCCAGGCCAGCAUCAGUUCGGGCGGUCGGAUAAAGGCCUCGGGAAU
rnacentral:rRNA from 1 species